AAUGAACGCUGGCGGCAGGCCUAACACAUGCAAGUCGAACGAGGUAGCAAUACCUAGUGGCGGACGGGUGAGUAACACGUGGGAACGUACCCUUUGCUACGGAAUAGCCCUGGGAAACUGGGAGUAAUACCGUAUGAGCCCGAGAGGGAAAGAUUUAUCGGCAAAGGAUCGGCCCGCGUUGGAUUAGGUAGUUGGUGGGGUAAAUGGCCUACCAAGCCGACGAUCCAUAGCUGGUUUGAGAGGAUGAUCAGCCACACUGGGACUGAGACACGGCCCAGACUCCUACGGAGGCAGCAGUGGGGAAUCUUUGACAAUGGGGGAAACCCGUGAUCUAGCCAUGCCGCGUGAUCGAUGAAGGCCUUAGGGUUGUAAAGAUCUUUCAGGUGGGAAGGAUAAUGACUGUACCACCA
rnacentral:rRNA from 1 species